CCCAAGCAUCGCAAACCCAAAACUCGUUCCAGGCCUGCAACCAGAUUAGCAUAUUAAUGAGGCUGUAAUUUCCCCGGAAUUGUCUGCGCGGCUAUGCCCGCUCACAGCGGCACUGGCCCAGGAGUUUGCUAUGCAAAUAAACUGGUUUUACAGGCUGUGGCUUAAUUAACUCAUCAAGUUCAUCUUCCUAACAAAAAAGGCAGACUAACUGCGGAUUAAUGGACCUGUGUUUGCUCUUCUUUCUCUCGCCCCGGCUCCCCGAGGCACCCGCUCCCUCCAGACCCUUCCCUUCCCGGCCCCGCGAGGAGAUAAAUCCUGGGAAAAGAGCCGGGGGGAUCGCAGCACAGCCUCCUGCGGAGUCUGGGAGGUUUCCUCAUCGGCUUCAAGGGGAAUAAGACGGCUCAGGCCUCGAGGAUGGCAAUUACGCCUCCGGCUGAAGCUGGCAGGUGACCACUUAUGAGGAGGAGGUGGCAGCGUCGCGGCGCUGUCCCCCGUAAGGCGGAUCAGAGGCUGGGUGUUUUGGGGACGGGGAUUAAGGCUCGGUGCCCAGGGCUGAUGAGAGGUGAGGGACAGCCGGCUGUGACACGAGCCGAGGAGCGGAACAGAAAAGGCAAAGGAGGAUCCGGCUUGGCAGCCAGGAAAGAAGCAAUUCACGCAAGGCAGGGUAGGAGGAGAUGUGCUGGAGGCAUCCUUUCCAGGAACGCUGCCUUUUUUCCCCGGACCCCGCCAAAAUCCUGAGCUGGAGACACACACAUACAGCAACACCGUGCCAGAAACGGCAGUUCCCCAGGACCCUCUCCCGUCUACCAGCACAGGGCCACCAGAGCCAGCUCUGGUUUCGAUGGUUUCACCAUCCUGCAAGGAAUUUCCCCACUACAAGCUUGUCUGCUUUCCUGUUAAUCACUUAAGCUCCUGCAGCGAGGAGUCCCAUGGGCAGCUCCGUGCCGGGAGGGACAACCCCUGUGGCUUGUCUUAAAUUUUGCUUCCACCAUCUCCAGCUCAGGAUGGGAAAGGGUAUUUAGCUUUGUGCUUUCUCCUGCCAGCUGUAGCAUGUAGGGAAAGCCUCCAAGGGCAGCACAAAAAGGAGAGCAGGAGCUCAGCAGGUCAGCCAAGCUGCCCCAAAGCACAUGGGUGAGCAGCA
rnacentral:lncRNA from 1 species